rnacentral:lncRNA from 1 species
AAAGGUUAAAGGAAUAACAAUAAACUAAGAUAACAACCCUAUUUAUAAUAGUACUUAACAAAAUCCUUAUCCUUCUCAAAUAAAAAGAAACUAUCUAAAACUCUAAUUAGACUAGGAUUACAAAUACUACUUUAAUAAGCUUACUAAAACAAGAUAAAUCUUAAUAAAAUAUUGAAUACUAAAUUGACUCAAAAUCUAAAAUUACCAAUUCAGUUAGUAAUAACUUAG